GACGAACGCUGGCGGCGUGCUUAACACAUGCAAGUCGAACGGAAAGGCCCUGCUUUUGUGGGGUGCUCGAGUGGCGAACGGGUGAGUAACACGUGAGUAACCUGCCCUUGACUUUGGGAUAACUUCAGGAAACUGGGGCUAAUACCGGAUAGGAGCUCCUGCUGCAUGGUGGGGGUUGGAAAGUUUCGGCGGUUGGGGAUGGACUCGCGGCUUAUCAGCUUGUUGGUGGGGUAGUGGCUUACCAAGGCUUUGACGGGUAGCCGGCCUGAGAGGGUGACCGGCCACAUUGGGACUGAGAUACGGCCCAGACUCCUACGGGAGGCAACAGUGGGGAAUAUUGCACAAUGGGCGGAAGCCUGAUGCAGCAACGCCGCGUGCGGGAUGACGGCCUUCGGGUUGUAAACCGCUUUCGCCUGUGACGAAGCGUGAGUGACGGUAAUGGGUAAAUAAGCACCGGCUAACUACGU
rnacentral:rRNA from 1 species